CCUACGGGAGGCAGCAGUGGGGAAUUUUGGACAAUGGACGCAAGUCUGAUCCAGCCAUUCCGCGUGCAGGACGAAGGCCUUCGGGUUGUAAACUGCUUUUGUACAGAACGAAAAGGUCUCUAUUAAUACUAGGGGCUCAUGACGGUACUGUAAGAAUAAGCACCGGCUAACUACGUGCCAGCAGCCGCGGUAAUACGUAGGGUGCAAGCGUUAAUCGGAAUUACUGGGCGUAAAGCGUGCGCAGGCGGUUAUAUAAGACAGAUGUGAAAUCCCCGGGCUCAACCUGGGAACUGCAUUUGUGACUGUAUAGCUGGAGUGCGGCAGAGGGGGAUGGAAUUCCGCGUGUAGCAGUGAAAUGCGUAGAUAUGCGGAGGAACACCGAUGGCGAAGGCAAUCCCCUGGGCCUGCACUGACGCUCAUGCACGAAAGCGUGGGGAGCAAACAGGAUUAGAUACCCUGGUAGUCCACGCCCUAAACGAUGUCAACUGGUUGUUGGGUCUUCACUGACUCAGUAACGAAGCUAACGCGUGAAGUUGACCGCCUGGGGAGUCGGCCGCAAGGUUGAAACGUCGAAANAGAGUAGAGCGNGAGAGNGCGAGGACGACGACGAGGGAGGAGG
rnacentral:rRNA from 1 species